ensembl:lncRNA
AAUCGAUGGUGGCAUGUCGGUGUACAAGGAUCUUUUUGCAAAGAAGAAAAAAGAGCGACCUAUCACUAUGUUCUUCUCCCGAACAAACACACCUGCACCGCGGGCUUCAGAAGAAGAGAAAACUGCAGAGCGCAGUCACGAUGAAGCGGCCCAGUCUGAAGAGCAGUGAAACGGCCUACACUGGACGCGAGUCGGGACGGCCCACCAAAAUUCCAUCACCACAACAGCGUCGGACAUUGUUCUGGCAAGAGCUGAAAACUCCCCGACCCCGGGGAGAGCGCCUCUCCGCUGGUUCGUCACGCUGUUUACUCACACGAGCGGCCCACCCAGAGGGCGGCGACACACCUCAGACCCCCACCCCCCAACCUGCAGGGAACACGUCAGCCCCCACUGCGGUCCAGACUGUGACAGUGGGCUUCCUGGGAGGAGAACCCAGCGUGACAUUGGAGGCCGAACGGUCACGACGAGGGAAAAACGGCCCUUCAUCCACAUCGCAGUGAUUUCUGCGCACCGCCGCCAUCAAACCGGGGACGUGUGCGAUCACCGUCACUGGACUUGUUCCAAUCCUCUUGGAUAGAAUAUUUAUGUUUGUAAUAAUGGAAUAUUAAUGCAUUAUGAAGUUAACCCCCUUCAGUGGAUAAACGUGCCUCCUCCCUGCAUUCAACUGGGGAAAUACAUUUUAAAAUAGAAAAGUACAGUGUCAUUUUUUGCCACAAUGCUAAACUAGUUAAGGAGUGGCCACUGAAAUUCAUUCAUUAAAAACCUUUCAACUUUUUAUGUUUGGAUUAAAAUUAAAUGUGCAUGAAAUAAAUUCAAGGAGUCAUUGAUGAUCAGACUUAGAUCGUAUCAGGACGAAG